rnacentral:tRNA from 1 species
CCCCAAGUAGCUUUACUAUACAAGCAUCGGCCUUUUAAGCCGAAGAUGGGCCCCUCUCCCCUUGGGGA